rfam:Bordetella pertussis strain Tohama I, complete genome
UUGUCCCUGCCGUGCUCGUGACUUGGCCAUACAUUCUCUGAACCUAUGUCUUACGGCAUAUGGGUUGCGGGAGUGUAGAGUUGGAGUGAUCGUCUACUCGUAGACGAACCCGAUGCUCUUCGGAUCGCGACCACCUUGAACCUCAGGGUUCGAGAUGCCGGCCUUGACGGCACAGGCGGGGCAUCU